rnacentral:lncRNA from 1 species
GUACUAUUUUGGAGAACGGCGAACAGAUAAAACCAAUGGCACUAAAUAUCAGGGAGUAGAAACUCCUUCUCAGGUGUUGGAACAGGCGAUGGAUAUGAUCUAAAAGUCCAAAUAGUAAUGAAGAAAAAGAUUGUCUUUUCCUGCACUUCCUUAAACAGUUGUCGGGUAUUUCAUGACACUGAAACAGACAGGGUAAUAAUUGAUGUGUUCAACUGUCCACCUCUGUAUGAUGAUGUGAAAGUGCAAGCUUCCUCUUCGGAUUUUCCUAAAUACUAUCACAACUACCCUUUUUUCUUCUGGUUUAACACAUCUUUAAUACAAAAUAACAAGUAUGUAUAUAAUAUCAACCCAUAGAAACAACCUAAUCUUCAAUGUCUAUGUAUAAGAUGUAAUGGCAAGUCUUUUGCUGGUUGUCAUAAGCUUAAUUUAUAGAAAACAAAAAAUCCUCGAGCCACCAUUGUUCAUUGUCUUACUCCUUUUACUUUGGCUAUUUUAAAAAUACAGUUGUUCUUGAGACCCCCGGUUGCAGCAUCCUCAAGGUCCAUGCCAUAGGACUGUGUUAUGAGCUCAAAAGUAUUAUAAUCAGAUCUUAAGUGUGGAAGUAAAUUCCUCCCAGAGAAGUUCAAUAUGAAUCUGCUCAGUACCUUCAACAUGUCAGGUCCUCAGUAGGUGCUGAUUUACCAAUGACGAACCACCACCAAAUUUUGUGCUAAAGUAAGGGAGGACCUAGGGAAGCUUCAGCUAGCUGAAAAGCUGACUGACACACUUAUAUCUAAGAGAAGUUACAAGACACAGCUUUAUCUACAAAGAAAUGAAUUGGAUAAUCUUCAUAAACAAAAAACUGGAAAAUUUAUCAACCAGAAUAUGCAGUAGAGACAUAUUUUGAUGAGAAAUGACUUAAGUUAUGUUGUAACUGGUAGCUGAUUAAGUAUAGUUCCCUGCACCCCUUCUGGGAAAGAAUUAUGUUCUUUCUAACCCUGCCACAUAGUUAUAUGUUCUAAAUCUUCCUUGCUGGUACAUCUAUAUUGAUAUAUGUAUACACAUGUUCUUUAUAAAUCUAUUAAAUAUAUACAGAUAAAA